rnacentral:rRNA from 1 species
CGCCUCCUAAAAGGUAACGGAGGCGCUCAAAGGUUCCCUCAGAAUGGUUGGAAAUCAUUCAUAGAGUGUAAAGGCAUAAGGGAGCUUGACUGCGAGACCUACAAGUCGAGCAGGGUCGAAAGACGGACUUAGUGAUCCGGUGGUUCCGCAUGGAAGGGCCAUCGCUCAACGGAUAAAAGCUACCCCGGGGAUAACAGGCUUAUCUCCCCCAAGAGUUCACAUCGACGGGGAGGUUUGGCACCUCGAUGUCGGCUCAUCGCAUCCUGGGGCUGUAGUCGGUCCCAAGGGUUGGGCUGUUCGCCCAUUAAAGCGGUACGCGAGCUGGGUUCAGAACGUCGUGAGACAGUUCGGUCCCUAUCCGUCGUGGGCGUAGGAAAUUUGAGAGGAGCUGUCCUUAGUACGAGAGGACCGGGAUGGACAUACCUCUGGUGUACCAGUUGUCGUGCCAACGGCAUAGCUGGGUAGCUAUGUGUGGACGGGAUAAGUGCUGAAAGCAUCUAAGCAUGAAGCCCCCCUCAAGAUGAGAU